GGCCGGGUCCUGUGCAACAGAGCCCCGUGAACCUCGUCAGGUCCGGAAGGAAGCAGCGAUAAGCGGAUCGCGCUGUGUGCCACAGCAAAAUCCGGUCUCG
rnacentral:SRP_RNA from 1 species